GGAUUACAGCUUCAAAUCGAUAUCCUAAUAAGUAAACUUGCAUCACGUUAUUUGUUGAUAGAUAAUCAUUUUGAGCGUGAAAUCUGGUGUAGUAUUGAAAUAUUUUGAAGAUCUCAGCUUUUUUAAAUUUAUGCUAUUCUUUCUGCCUUUAGGAAGCUGCCAACCCCUUUGAGUACUGUGAUAUUGUCACACCUACCACCCACAAAAGCUUGAGGGGUCCU
rnacentral:misc_RNA from 1 species